rnacentral:rRNA from 1 species
GAACCGUACGAACGUUAUUCGGAAUCACUGGGCUUAAAGGGUGCGUAGGCGGCUCGGCAAGUUGGGUGUGAAAUCCCUCGGCUCAACCGAGGAACUGCGCUCAAAACUGCCGAGCUAGAGGGAGACAGAGGUGAGCGGAACUUAGGGUGGAGCGGUGAAAUGCGUUGAUAUCCUAAGGAACACCAGUAGCGAAAGCGGCUCACUGGGUCUCUUCUGACGCUGAGGCACGAAAGCUGGGGGAGCGAACGGGGGAUUAGAUACCCCGGUAGUCCUAGCUGUAAACGAUGAGCACUGGGUCGAGGAUCCUCCAUAGUUUUCCCGGCCGUAGCGAAAGUGUUAAGUGCUCCGCCUGGGGAGUAUGGUCGCAAGGCUG